AUUCUAUAGCCUUUUUCAUUGCUUUGCGAAAAGAAACUCUAUUUUUUAAUUGGCCCGCUAUAAAUUCUGCAAGAAUAUUAGGGAUGCCAUAAGGCUUUUCAAUUCAUGUGAUAGCAAUGUUAAGUUUUCUAUUUAUAGAAUAAAAUUCUUUUUGUAAAUUCAUCUGUAAUUCUUUGAUUCCUCGGUGUCGGCUUUCAAUUAAGAUUUUUGGAGAUCCCAUAUAGAUUAUGAUUUGGAUCAGGUUGAUUCUUUUUUGAAUCUCUAUACGUGCAAUUCCCUCGACACUAGAAGAUGUUUUCAUUUUUUUUUGUACAUAAUUCUUGAUAUAAGUUCUUAUUUUUUAUCUUCUUGCAGACCAUCAGAAUAAUUUUUUGGUUGUGCGAACCAAAGGGAAUGAUGACCUUGGGUUGUAUGAAGUCUGAAACCNUCUUCGAUUCCUCGGGGUCGACUUUCAAUUAAGAUUUUUGGAAAUCCCAUAUAGAUUAUGAUUUGGAUCAGGUCGAUUCUUUUUUGAAUCUCUAUACGUGCAAUUCCCUCGACGCCAGAAGAUGUUUUCAUAUUUUUUUGUACAUAAUUCUGGAUAUAAGUUCUUAUUUUUUUAUCUUCUUGCAGACCCUCAGAAUAAUUUUUUGGUUGUGCGAACCAAAGGGAAUGAUGACCUUGGGUUGUACCAAGUCUGAAACCAAUUGGAUUUAUUUUUUGUCCCAUGUUCCCCCCUUACUAUACAUAUCAUAAUACGACAUAGUUGUAUGCUUUUUUUUUCAACUUAGGUUUUUGUGACCAUGUAAUAGAGUCGGUAUCUAUAUAUUCAUCUAAGGAUAUAUCUUUCAUUAUAAUAGUUAUAUUGCAGGUAGGUUUUUGUAUCGCAAAACUACGCCCUCGAGCGCGAGGUUUUAAUCUUUUCAGAAUAGUACCUUCAUUGACUUCAUCU
rnacentral:lncRNA from 1 species